CCUACGGGUGGCAGCAGUGAGGAAUAUUGGUCAAUGGACGAGAGUCUGAACCAGCCAAGUAGCGUGAAGGAUGACUGCCCUAUGGGUUGUAAACUUCUUUUAUAUGGGAAUAAAAUGUUCCACGUGUGGGAUUUUGUAUGUACCAUAUGAAUAAGGAUCGGCUAACUCCGUGCCAGCAGCCGCGGUAAUACGGAGGAUCCGAGCGUUAUCCGGAUUUAUUGGGUUUAAAGGGAGCGUAGGGGGAUUGUUAAGUCAGUUGUGAAAGUUUGCGGCUCAACCGUAAAAUUGCAGUUGAAACUGGCAGUCUUGAGGACAGUAGAGGUGGGCGGAAUUCGUGGUGUAGCGGUGAAAUGCUUAGAUAUCACGAAGAACUCCGAUUGCGAAGGCAGUUCACUGGACUGCAACUGACACUGAGGCUCGAAAGUGUGGGUAUCAAACAGGAUUAGAUACCACUGUAGUC
rnacentral:rRNA from 1 species